GAUGAACGCUGGCGGCGUGCCUAAUACAUGCAAUUCGAGCGAACAGACGAGGAGCUUGCUCCUCUGACGUUAGCGGCGGACGGUUGAGUAACACGUGGAUAACCUACCUAUAAGACUGGGAUAACUUCUGGAAACCGGAGCUAAUACCGGAUAAUAUAUUGAACCGCAUGGUUCAAUAGUGAAAGACGGUUUUGCUGUCACUUAUAGAUGGAUCCGCGCCGCAUUAGCUAGUUGGUAAGGUAACGGCUUACCAAGGCAACGAUGCGUAGCCGACCUGAGAGGGUGAUCGGCCACACUGGAACUGAGACACGGUCCAGACACCUACGGGAGGCAGAAGUAGGGAAUCUUCCGCAAUGGGCGAAAGCCUGACGGAGCAACGCCGCGUGAGUGAUGAAGGUCUUCGGAUCGUAAAACUCUGUUAUUAGGGAAGAACAAAUGUGUAAGUAACUAUGCACGUCUUGACGGUACCUAAUCAGAAAGCCACGGCUAACUACGUG
rnacentral:rRNA from 1 species